AGAAGCAGCCAUCAUUUAAAGAAAGCGUAAUAGCUCACUGGUCGAGUCGGCCUGCGCGGAAGAUGUAACGGGGCUAAACCAUGCACCGAAGCUGCGGCAGCGACGCUUAUGCGUUGUUGGGUAGGGGAGCGUUCUGUAAGCCUGCGAAGGUGUGCUGUGAGGCAUGCUGGAGGUAUCAGAAGUGCGAAUGCUGACAUAAGUAACGAUAAAGCGGGUGAAAAGCCCGCUCGCCGGAAGACCAAGGGUUCCUGUCCAACGUUAAUCGGGGCAGGGUGAGUCGACCCCUAAGGCGAGGCCGAAAGGCGUAGUCGAUGGGAAACAGGUUAAUAUUCCUGUACUUGGUGUUACUGCGAAGGGGGGACGGAGAAGGCUAUGUUGGCCGGGCGACGGUUGUCCCGGUUUAAGCGUGUAGGCUGGUUUUCCAGGCAAAUCCGGAAAAUCAAGGCUGAGGCGUGAUGACGAGGCACUACGGUGCUGAAGCAACAAAUGCCCUGCUUCCAGGAAAAGCCUCUAAGCAUCAGGUAACAUCAAAUCGUACCCCAAACCGACACAGGUGGUCAGGUAGAGAAUACCAAGGCGCUUGAGAGAACUCGGGUGAAGGAACUAGGCAAAAUGGUGCCGUAACUUCGGGAGAAGGCACGCUGAUAUGUAGGUGAAGUCCCUCGCGGAUGGAGCUGAAAUCAGUCGAAGAUACCAGCUGGCUGCAACUGUUUAUUAAAAACACAGCACUGUGCAAACACGAAAGUGGACGUAUACGGUGUGACGCCUGCCCGGUGC
rnacentral:rRNA from 1 species